AAAUAAGAAGUAAUAUUAAUUACAUAUUAAUUUCGACUUAAUAAUAGAUUAUAAAUCCUUAUUUU
rnacentral:tRNA from 1 species